UUAAGGGUAUGGAUGCGUUUGUGUAUAUGUGUGUAUGAAUGACAAAUUUUUGUGCAGAUGAGUCAAAGAUGUCAGAGAGAGAAA